rnacentral:rRNA from 1 species
UCAGAACGAACGCUGGUGGCGUGUCUUAUACAUGCAAGUCGAGCGAGGCAGCAAUGCCGAGCGGCGAACGGGUGAGUAACGCGUAAGCAAUCCUGCCCCAGUAUCAGGAAAUACCCGUGCCAACGCGCGGUUAAUGUCCAGGAGAGUGGCCCUCUGCAUGGAGGGUUGACUAGAGAUUUAUCGGUAUGGGAUGAGCUUGCGUCCGAUUAGCUAGUUGGCGGGGCAACGGCCCACCAAGGCGACGAUCGGUAGCCGGCCUGAGAGGGUGAUCGGCCACAUUGGGACUGAGAUACGGCCCAGACUCCUACGGGAGGCAGCAGUAGGGAAUAUUGCACAAUGGGGGAAACCCUGAUGCAGCAACGCCACGUGUAGGGAAGAAGCAAUUUCGGUGUGUAAACCACUGUCAUGAGGGAAUAAGGCCCGCCUACGGACGGGAUUGAAUGUACCUUGAGAGGAAGCACCGGCAAACUUCGUGCCAGCCGCUGC